UAGGGAAUAUUGGGCAAUGGAGGCAACUCUGACCCAGCCAUGCCGCGUGCAGGAAGACGGUCCUCUGGAUUGUAAACUGCUUUUGAAUGGGAAGAAACGCACUUUUGCGAAAGUGUUUGACGGGACUAUUACAAUA
rnacentral:rRNA from 1 species